rnacentral:rRNA from 1 species
UACGAAGGGGGCUAGCGUUGUUCGGAAUUACUGGGCGUAAAGCGCGCGCAGGCGGUUCUCCAAGUCAGUGGGGAAAGCCCGGAGCUCAACUCCGGAACUGCCAUUGAAACUGUUGAACUUGAGGACGAGAGAGGUGAGUGGAAUUCCCAGUGUAGAGAUGAAAUUCGUAGAUAUUGGGAAGAACACCGGUGGCGAAGGCGGCUCACUGGCUCGUAUCUGACGCUCAGGCGCGAUAGCGUGGGGAUCAAACAGG